rnacentral:tRNA from 1 species
GUAGAUAUAGUUUAACCAAAAUGCUAGAUUGUGAUUCUGAAGACGGGGGUUAAAGUCCCCCUAUCCACC